rnacentral:rRNA from 1 species
ACCAGACUCCUACGGGAGGCAGCAGUGGGGAAUAUUGCACAAUGGGCGAAAGCCUGAUGCAGCAACGCCGCGUGAGCGAUGAAGGCCUUCGGGUCGUAAAGCUCUGUCCUCAAGGAAGAUAAUGACGGUACUUGAGGAGGAAGCCCCGGCUAACUCCGUGCCAGCAGCCGCGGUAAUACGGAGGAUGCGAGCGUUAUCCGGAUUUAUUGGGUUUAAAGGGUGCGUAGGCGGAUUUUUAAGUCAGCGGUAAAAUGUCCGGGCUCAACCCGGGCCGGCCGUUGAAACUGGGGAUCUUGAGUGGGCGAGAAGUAUGCGGAAUGCGUGGUGUAGCGGUGAAAUGCAUAGAUAUCACGCAGAACUCCGAUUGCGAAGGCAGCAUACCGGCGCCCGACUGACGCUGAGGCACGAAAGCGUGGGGAUCGAACAGGAUUAGAUACCCGAGUAACA